ACUGCUCAGUAACACGUGGAUAACCUGCCCUUGGGUCCGGCAUAACCCCGGGAAACUGGGGAUAAUUCCGGAUAACGCACAUAUGCUGGAAUGCUUUAUGCGUAAAAUGGAUUCGUCUGCCCAAGGAUGGGUCUGCGGCCUAUCAGGUAGUAGUGGGUGUAAUGUACCUACUAGCCAACAACGGGUACGGGUUGUGAGAGCAAGAGCCCGGAGAUGGAUUCUGAGACAUGAAUCCAGGCCCUACGGGGCGCAGCAGGCGCGAAAACUUUACAAUGCGGGAAACCGUGAUAAGGGGACACCGAGUGCCAGCAUCAUAUGCUGGCUGUCCAGGUGUGUAAAAUACACCUGUCAGCAAGGGCCGGGCAAGACCGGUGCCAGCCGCCGCGGUAACACCGGCGGCCCGAGUGGUGAUCGUGAUUAUUGGGUCUAAAGGGUCCGUAGCCGGUUUGGUCAGUCCUCCGGGAAAUCUGACGGCUCAACCGUUAGGCUUUCGGGGGAUACUGCCAGGCUUGGAACCGGGAGAGGUAAGAGGUACUACAGGGGUAGGAGUGAAAUCUUGUAAUCCCUGUGAGACCACCUGUGGCGAAGGCGUCUUACCAGAACGGGUUCGACGGUGAGGGACGAAAGCUGGGGGCACGAACCGGAUUGGAUACCCGGGUAGUCCCAGCCGUAAACGAUGCUCGCUAGGUGUCAGGCAUGGCGCGACCGUGUCUGGUGCCGCAGGGAAGCCGUGAAGCGAGCCACCUGGGAAGUACGGCCGCAAGGCUGAACCUUAAAGGAAUUGGCGGGGGAGCAC
rnacentral:rRNA from 1 species